AAAUAGCGCCCUCCACUGGUAACAGUUCAGUAUUACAUUCAGGUGAUUGCAGGACCAUGAGAUAUGCCUUGACUCAAAUAGCAGAUCUGAUUUAAUUCUCCCUGUUUUAUUUGCAAUAAACUCCUAGUAUACAUGAAUAUAAAUGGUGAAGACAUUAUAUCCUCAAAGUAGCUCCAGGUCCAUGCUGGAAUAACACUAUUAUGAUCUUUAAGUUUAAAUACUGAAUAUUGUACUAAUUACUUUGAACUUGAUAUCCGCCACGACCUUCUGGGCCAAAACAUUAUUUUCUUCAGAGACUUCAAGAUGAAAGUUUGUCCUGAUUUGAAGGAGCAGGCAGAACUAAGCUGGUUCAGCAAAUCUUUAUUGUUCCUGUCUUGACGAAAUAUAGUCAUGACAUCUUCAGAAAUUAUGUGUACUUGAGUUUAUGUGGGAUAAAUGGACACAAUGAAUCUGUGACGCCCUCUUUUAUUCAGAGCCGAUCAGUUUCGUUUCUCAGGAAAAGAUACCCAACCCUCGUGCCUGUUUAAAACCAGCCCAACGCAACGCAAGGCUCAUCAGUACACUACUUCUACAGACAAGAGAUGGGUCUAUGUGGAAUAGGUGCAGGCUCCUGGGCUGCCGGCAUGAUGUCUGCUGCUGCAGUGGCUAACGGAGGAGGAGUGGCAGCCGGAAGUACAGUGGCUGUUUUGCAGGCAGCAGUUUCUGGUAGCCCAGCCUGAGGAGAAGC